rnacentral:lncRNA from 1 species
GGCCCUCCCCGGGGCUGGGGCCCGCCGUCUGGUUGUGUCUCCAGCCGCUGGUUUAGGGGAAUCGGGAGGGCUCACUUAAGCAUCCCUUCCCUGCGUGCUCUUCCAUCGCGGGACAGAAGACCCGACUGCUGCCAGCACCAAAGGGUGUUCCCACGGCACACGCCGCUUGGGCUCGGGCAGGCAGGGACCCCUCCUCGUGCCUCGGGAGCCUGGAGCUGUCGGCCCUGCAGCUGAGGACCACAGGAGGGAAGGCCUAACAAGGCUUGACCAAUCAGUGAAGGGCAUUCCCCAGACUGCUGGCUGUGACUGGGUCCCAGAUAAGCACGUGACCCACUAUGGGCCAAUGAAAGUCGCCUGAGACUUUUGCUUGCAUGGUUGCUGGGACGGUCCAAAGUCCUCAGUGGGGACGGCUGGCUGCAGCUGUCAGACUUGGAGCGUGAGGACAGAGCUGGGCCGGUUCCUCCCUGGGAUCUCCCCUCCCCGAGCACAGGCUCUGCUCUGCCCAGCCCCAUGCUGUCCCCUGUGCGACCGCUGUGGGCUUCCUGCCAGGCUCCUGCACCCUCCGGCUUCUGUUGGGUUCAGUUCUGGGAGGCAGCCCCGGAGUCUGGAGGGUGGAAGGAGUGAGGGGCAUCCCCUGUCCCCUCCCCACAGUCUUGGCAGUGGUUUCUUCUCUCCAGAGUUACUGUCCCUACCCCCUGUCCUCUCUCUGCAGCUCCAGCUCUUGCUGGGCGCCUGUGAUUCUCACCCCUGUCCCUUCAGGCCGUGGGGAGAAGAACAUCCCAGUGCGGUCACUUCCUGGAUCCAAUUCCUGGAUGCCCAGUGUCCGCCGGGUCUCCUGGAUUCACCGUGGUCACUGCCUGGAUGCCCAGUGUCCACUGGGUCUCCUGGAUCCAAUUCCUGGAUGCCCAGUGUCCGCCAGGUCUCCUGGAUUCACUGUGGUCCCUGCCUGGAUGCCCAGUGUCCUCCAGGUCUCCUGGAUUCACUUCCUGAAUGCCCAGUGUCUGCUAGGUCUCCUGGAUCCACUUCCUGGAUGCCCAGUGUCUGCCAAAUCUCCUGAAUUCACUUCCUGGAUGCCCAGUGUCCACCAGGUCUCCUGGAUUCUGCCUGUGUCCACGUGAGGGCACCAUCAAUUUCCUGCAAGGAUCCUGACAGUCAAGGUACAUCUAACCUGAGAGCAGGCAGGGGCUGGACUAUCCCCUAGAUCAAGCCAUGCCUGAAGCCCCACCUUUCAGUUGCCUGAGUCAAC